rnacentral:rRNA from 1 species
UACGUAGGGGGCAAGCGUUAUCCGGAUUUACUGGGCGUAAAGGGAGCGCAGACGGGACGGCAAGUCAGGAGUGAAAGGCCGGGGCUCAGCCCCGGGACUGCUCUUGAAACUGUCGACCUGGAGUGCAGGAGAGGUAAGCGGAAUUCCUGGUGUAGCGGUGAAAUGCGUAGAUAUCAGGAGGAACACCGGUUGCGAAGGCGGCUUACUGGACUGUAACUGACGUUGAGGCUCGAAGGCGUGGGGAGCAAAC